AUUGAACGCUGGCGGCAGGCCUAACACAUGCAAGUCGAACGAGUGGCGGACGGGUGAGUAAUGUCUGGGAAACUGCCCGAUGGAGGGGGAUAACUACUGGAAACGGUAGCUAAUACCGCAUACCAUCGGAUGUGCCCAGAUGGGAUUGGCUAGUAGGUGGGGUAACGGCUCCCCUGGGCGACGAUCCCUAGCUGGUCUGAGAGGAUGACCAGCAACACUGGAACUGAGACACGGUCAGGACUCCGACGGGAGGCAGCAGGGGGGAAUAUUGCACAAGGGGCGCAAGCCUGAGGCAGCCAUGCCGCGUGUAUGAAGAAGGCCUUCGGGUUGUAAAGUACUUUCAGCGAGGAGGCGUUACUCGCAGAAGAAGCACCGGCUAACUCCGUGCCAGCAGCCGCGGUAAUAC
rnacentral:rRNA from 1 species